GAUGAAGAACGCAGUGAAAUGCGAUAAUUAAUGUGAAUUGCAGAAUUCAGUGAAUCAUCGAGUCUUUGAACGCACAUUGUGCCCCCUGGUAUUCCGGGGGGCAUGCCUGUCCGAGCGUCAUUGCUGCCCUCAAGCACGGCUUGUGUGUUGGGCUUCCGUCCCUGGCAACGGGGACGGGCCCAAAAGGCAGUGGCGGCACCAUGUCUGGUCCUCGAGCGUAUGGGGCUUUGUCACCCGCUCCCGUAGGUCCAGCUGGCAGCUAGCCUCGCAACCAAUCUUUUUAACCAGGUUGACCUCGGAUCAGGUAGGGAUACCCGCUGAACUUAAGCAUAUCAAUAAGCGGAGGA
rnacentral:misc_RNA from 1 species